rnacentral:rRNA from 1 species
GGACUACUGGGGUUUCUAAUCCUGUUUGCUCCCCACGCUUUCGUGCCUGAGCGUCAGUGUUGGCCCAGGGGGCUGCCUUCGCCAUCGGUGUUCCUCCGCAUCUCUACGCAUUUCACUGCUACACGCGGAAUUCCACCCCCCUCUGCCACACUCCAAGCCCGCCAGUUUCCAUUGCCGUUCCCAGGUUGAGCCCGGGGCUUUCACAACGAACUUAACGAACCGCCUGCGCACGCUUUACGCCCAGUAAUUCCGAUUAACGCUCGCACCCUACGUAUUACCGCGGCUGCUGGCAC